GUGAAGAACGCAGCGAAAUGCGAUAAGUAGUGUGAAUUGCAGAAUUCCGUGAAUCAUCGAAUCUUUGAACGCACAUUGCGCCACCUGGUAAUCCGUGAGGCAUGCCUGUUCGAGCGUCACCAAAAUCAAAUCAACCACUCCGGUGAUUGGUCAUGGAGGAAGAGUCCGUCGUGUUGUGGUCUCCCCUCCCAAAAUAAAUGGCGGAAAGUUGCUGGCACUCGGUGUAGGAGUAUUAUUCGCCGAUUGUCCAGUGUCGUUCCUGCCGUCAAAUCCCCACAAUUAUCUUGAUUGACCUCGGAUCAGGUAGGGAUACCCGCUGAACUUAAGCAUAUCAAAAGAGGAGGA
rnacentral:misc_RNA from 1 species